AUGGGAAGGAGCCCUUUUUCCAUUGUCUACACUAAAGUUCCAACACAUGUGGUGGACCUGGUGAAACUACCAUCAAGGGGAAACUCAAAAUCAGCAUUGUCCUUUGCUGAUAAUUACACCGAGUUAUUUGAAGAGAUUCGCGGUUCUUUGGAAGCACAAAAUCAGAAAUAUAAACAACUUGAUGAUUGCAAAAGGAGGCCAAAAUCAUUCCAAGCCGGUGAUAAGGUGAUGGUCUACCUCCGAAAAGAGAGGCUGCCUUUAGGUGUUAAAGGGAAACUUAGGCAGCGAAGAAGAAGCGCUCUAUGA
rnacentral:rRNA from 1 species